rnacentral:rRNA from 1 species
UACGUAGGGUGCAAGCGUUAAUCGGAAUUACUGGGCGUAAAGCGUGCGCAGGCGGUUAUGUAAGACAGAUGUGAAAUGCCCGGGCUUAACCUGGGAACUGCAUUUGUGACUGCAUGGCUAGAGUUUGGCAGAGGGGGGUAGAAUUCCACGUGUAGCAGUGAAAUGCGUAGAUAUGUGGAGGAACACCGGUGGCGAAGGCGGGUCUCUGGGCCGUAACUGACGCUGAGGAGCGAAAGCGUGGGGAGCGAACAGG